CAGGUCUUAAUUUAUUGUUUAGACUUACAAAAAUAAUGCAGAAAAUGUUAAUACUGUAGAUUAUACACCAAAAUAAUAUCUUGCAUUCCUUCCUCACUCUACCACCCAAAAGCUGGUUGUUAAGCAUUUAUUAGGAUACAACUGAGUCCUUGAAUGUCAUCUGAUGAAGAAAAAGUAAGUUUGCCUUGAUUGCAGAUUGCUAGAAGAGAAAUAAUAAUGUACAACAAGACUGUAAAGGGUAAGGGAAGGAGGGACAGUUCUCUGAGGAGUUAAAGAAGGGAUUUACUUCCAAAUGAAGAAAUAUUGAAGUUACAAAGA
rnacentral:lncRNA from 1 species